rnacentral:piRNA from 1 species
UAAAACGCAAAAAUUGUCCGA